CUAAGUACCCCGAGGAAAAGAAAUCAACCGAGAUUCCCCCAGUAGCGGCGAGCGAACGGGGAGCAGCCCAGAGCCUGAAUCAGUGUGUGUGUUAGUGGAAGCGUCUGGAAAGGCGUGCGAUACAGGGUGACAGCCCCGUACACAAAAAUGCACAUACUGUGAGCUCGAUGAGUAGGGCGGGACACGUGGUAUCCUGUCUGAAUAUGGGGGGACCAUCCUCC
rnacentral:rRNA from 1 species